AAAGAAAGUAGCUGACAACUGACGAAGGGGGUUUAGGCUGGGCUGGAGUGAGAUCAGCUUAUGGGAAUAUGAAAAACACAGAGACACAGAACCAGAAUCUCAGCAUGCCUGAUUCAUAUGAAACUGAGUUUACAUGGUUUGUCUUAGUAACCUGUCAGAGAUGACCCAGCAUCCUUCACCCUAUCACAGAGAGGCCAGGUCUGGCUUUCUGAGGGAGAAAAGGAGGAAGGAUAAGACUGUUGGCCUGGAAAUUACAGAGGUCCAACUGGUAAAGCAGACCCUGUAA
rnacentral:lncRNA from 1 species